GAUGAACGCUGGCGGCGUGCUUAACACAUGCAAGUCGAACGGAAAGGCCAGUGCUUGCACUGGUACUCGAGUGGCGAACGGGUGAGUAACACGUGGGUGAUCUGCCCUGCACUUCGGGAUAAGCCUGGGAAACUGGGUCUAAUACCGGAUAGGACAAUGGUUUGGAUGCCGUUGUGGAAAGUUUUUUCGGUGUGGGAUGAGCUCGCGGCCUAUCAGCUUGUUGGUGGGGUAAUGGCCUACCAAGGCGUCGACGGGUAGCCGGCCUGAGAGGGUGUACGGCCACAUUGGGACUGAGAUACGGCCCAGACUCCUACGGGAGGCAGCAGUGGGGAAUAUUGCACAAUGGGCGCAAGCCUGAUGCAGCGACGCCGCGUGGGGGAUGGCGGCCUUCGGGUUGUAAACUCCUUUCGCUAGGGACGAAGCGUAUUUGUGACGGUACCGGGAGAAGAAGCACCGGCUAACUACGUG
rnacentral:rRNA from 1 species